rnacentral:rRNA from 1 species
GCGGACGGGUGAGUAAUGUCUGGGAAACUGCCUGAUGGAGGGGGAUAACUACUGGAAACGGUGGCUAAUACCGCAUAACGUCGCAAGACCAAAGAGGGGGACCUUCGGGCCUCUUGCCAUCAGAUGUGCCCAGAUGGGAUUAGCUUGUUGGUGAGGUAACGGCUCACCAAGGCGACGAUCCCUAGCUGGUCUGAGAGGAUGACCAGCCACACUGGAACUGAGACACGGUCCAGACUCCUACGGGAGGCAGCAGUGGGGAAUAUUGCACAAUGGGCGCAAGCCUGAUGGAGCCAUGCCGCGUGUAUGAAGAAGGCCUUCGGGUUGUAAAGUACUUUCAGCGGGGAGGAAGGUGUUGUGGUUAAUAACCGCAGCAAUUGACGUUACCCGCAGAAGAAGCACCGGCUAACUCCGUGCCAGCAGCCGCGGUAAUACGGAGGGUGCAAGCGUUAAUCGGAAUUACUGGGCGUAAAGCGCACGCAGGCGGUCUGUCAAGUCGGAUGUGAAAUCCCCGGGCUCAACCUGGGAACUGCAUUCGAAACUGGCAGGCUUGAGUCUUGUAGAGGGGGGUAGAAUUCCAGGUGUAGCGGUGAAAUGCGUAGAGAUCUGGAGGAAUACCGGUGGCGAAGGCGGCCCCCUGGACAAAGACUGACGCUCAGGUGCGAAAGCGUGGGGAGCAAACAGGAUUAGAUACCCUGGUAGUCCACGCCGUAAACGAUGUCUACUUGGAGGUUGUGCCCUUGAGGCGUGGCUUCCGGAGCUAACGCGUUAAGUAGACCGCCUGGGGAGUACGGCCGCAAGGUUAAAACUCAAAUGAAUUGACGGGGGCCCGCACAAGCGGUGGAGCAUGUGGUUUAAUUCGAUGCAACGCGAAGAACCUUACCUGGUCUUGACAUCCACAGAACUUUCCAGAGAUGGAUUGGUGCCUUCGGGAACUGUGAGACAGGUGCUGCAUGGCUGUCGUCAGCUCGUGUUGUGAAAUGUUGGGUUAAGUCCCGCAACGAGCGCAACCCUUAUCCUUUGUUGCCAGCGGUCCGGCCGGGAACUCAAAGGAGACUGCCAGUGAUAAACUGGAGGAAGGUGGGGAUG